CUCUGUUGUUAGAGAAGAACAAGGAUGAGAGUAACUGUUCAUCCCUUGACGGUAUCUAACCAGAAAGCCACGGCUAACUACGUGCCAGCAGCCGCGGUAAUACGUAGGUGGCAAGCGUUGUCCGGAUUUAUUGGGCGUAAAGCGAGCGCAGGCGGUUUCUUAAGUCUGAUGUGAAAGCCCCCGGCUCAACCGGGGAGGGUCAUUGGAAACUGGGAGACUUGAGUGCAGAAGAGGAGAGUGGAAUUCCAUGUGUAGCGGUGAAAUGCGUAGAUAUAUGGAGGAACACCAGUGGCGAAGGCGG
rnacentral:rRNA from 1 species